GAGGGUAUAGCUCAAGUGGUAGAGCACAUGCCUCGCAUGCCUGAGGUCCUGGGUUCAAGCCCCAGUGCCUCCC
rnacentral:tRNA from 1 species